rnacentral:rRNA from 1 species
GACGAACGCUGGCGGCGUGCCUAAUACAUGCAAGUUGAGCGCUGAAGGUUGGUACUUGUACCAACUGGAUGAGCAGCGAACGGGUGAGUAACGCGUGGGGAAUCUGCCUUUGAGCGGGGGACAACAUUUGGAAACGAAUGCUAAUACCGCAUAAAAACUUUAAACACAAGUUUUAAGUUUGAAAGAUGCAAUUGCAUCACUCAAAGAUGAUCCCGCGUUGUAUUAGCUAGUUGGUGAGGUAAAGGCUCACCAAGGCGAUGAUACAUAGCCGACCUGAGAGGGUGAUCGGCCACAUUGGGACUGAGACACGGCCCAAACUCCUACGAGAGGCAGCAGUAGGGAAUCUUCGGCAAUGGAAGAAAGUCUGACCGAGCAACGCCGCGUGAGUGAAGAAGGUUUUCGGAUCGUAAAACUCUGUUGGUAGAGAAGAACGUUGGUGAGAGUGGAAAGCUCAGCAAGUGACGGUAACUACCCAGAAAGGGACGGCUAACUACGUG